AUAUACGACCGUACCGCAAACCGACACUGGUGCGCGAGAUGAGUAUUCUAAGGCGCUUGAGAGAACUCAGGAGAAGGAACUCGGCAAAUUGACACCGUAACUUCGGAAGAAGGUGUGCCCUAUUAGUGUGUAGUGAACAACGAAGCAUGAAUGGGUUGCAAAAAAUCGGUGGCUGCGACUGUUUAUUAAAAACACAGCACUCUGCAAACACGAAAGUGGACGUAUAGGGUGUGACGCCUGCCCGGUGCUGGAAGAUUAAAUGAUGGGGUGCAAGCUCUUGAUUGAAGUCCCAGUAAACGGCGGCCGUAACGAUAACGGUCCUAAGGUAGCGAAAUUCCUUGUCGGGUAAGUUCCGACCUGCACGAAUGGCGUAACGAUGGCCACACUGUCUCCUCCUGAGACUCAGCGAAGUUGAAAUGUUUGUGAUGAUGCAAUCUCCCCGCGGAAAGACGGAAAGACCCCAUGAACCUUUACUGUAGCUUUGUAUUGGACUUUGAACAGAUCUGUGUAGGAUAGGUGGGAGGCUUUGAAGCAGGGUCGCUAGAUCUUGUGGAGCCAACGUUGAAAUACCACCCUGGUGUGCUUGAGGUUCUAACCUAGGUCCAUUAUCUGGAUCGGGGACAGUGCAUGGUAGGCAGUUUGACUGGGGCGGUCUCCUCCCAAAGCGUAACGGAGGAGUUCGAAGGUACGCUAGUUACGGUCGGACAUCGUGACGAUAGUGCAAUGGCAUAAGCGUGCUUAACUGCGAGACUGACAAGUCGAGCAGAUGCGAAAGCAGGACAUAGUGAUCCGGUGGUUCUGUAUGGAAGGGCCAUCGCUCAACGGAUAAAAGGUACUCUGGGGAUAACAGGCUGAUACCGCCCAAGAGUUCAUAUCGACGGCGGUGUUUGGCACCUCGAUGUCGGCUCAUCUCAUCCUGGGGCUGUAGCCGGUCCCAAGGGUAUGGCUGUUCGCCAUUUAAAGAGGUACGUGAGCUGGGUUUAAAACGUCGUGAGACAGUUUGGUCCCUAUCUUCCGUGGGCGCUGCAGAUUUGAGGAAGCCUGCUCCUAGUACGAGAGGACCGGAGUAGACACACCUCUGGUGUAUCGGUUGUCACGCCAGUGGCAUUGCCGAGUAGCUAAGUGUGGAAGAGAUAACCGCUGAAAGCAUCUAAGCGGGAAACUCGUUUCAAGAUGAGAUCUGCCGGGGCCUUGAGCCCCCUAAAGAGUCGUUCAAGACCAGGACGUUGAUAGGUCAGGUGUGGAAGC
rnacentral:rRNA from 1 species